GAUGAACGCUGGCGGCGUGCCUAAUACAUGCAAGUAGAACGCUGAAGGAGGAGCUUGCUCUUCUGGAUGAGUUGCGAACGGGUGAGUAACGCGUAGGUAACCUGCCUGGUAGCGGGGGAUAACUAUUGGAAACGAUAGCUAAUACCGCAUGACAACAGUUAUUGCAUGAUAACUGUUUAAAAGGGGCAACUGCUCCACUACCAGAUGGACCUGCGUUGUAUUAGCUAGUUGGUGAGGUAACGGCUCACCAAGGCGACGAUACAUAGCCGACCUGAGAGGGGGAUCGGCCACACUGGGACUGAGACACGGCCCAGACGCCUACGGGAGGCAGCAGUAGGGAAUCUUCGGCAAUGGACGGAAGUCUGACCGAGCAACGCCGCGUGAGUGAAGAAGGUUUUCGGAUCGUAAAGCUCUGUUGUAAGAGAAGAACGAGUGUGAGAGUGGAAAGUUCACACUGUGACGGUAUCUUACCAGAAAGGGACGGCUAACUACGUG
rnacentral:rRNA from 1 species